UUAAAUAGUCAUCGAUCAGCAAGCCUACAUUUGCUAUAAUCCUUAAUCAACCUAUGCAGAAUAUCACCUGUUCCUAGCUCAAGUCUCGAUUUAAGUACUUUCAUCCUUAGGACUUAUUUGUGUACCUUAGGGUGAUUAAAACAUCAUAGGGAACCUUGCAUUAGAUCUCCCCGUGAUUCUGGUGAAAAUAUUCUUGUAGGUAGAGCCAUCCUUCCUCAGGAUAAACUCUAAGCUAGGCAUUAGUGCAAAGGACAAACUCUAUCUCCAAGACUUACCUCUAUGCAGGGCUAAGCAAUUUUUGUAAACAAUAUUUCAUACUUCCUAAGAAGUAUCUAUAAAAGGAAUGGAUAUCAAGGUAGUCAACGCAUCAAAUAGUUUCCAAGCAACUCCUAUAAACUUAAUGCACAUUUCACUAGACUUAAAGUGUAUAAAAGCCUUUUAAAAAUACAAGGAAUGGGCAAAUGCACCGGGCUUGUCUUUAUUGCAGUGAAGAGGUUCUAGAUCCCUCUAUCAAAUAUCCAGUUAGAUGGCUCCUCCACUUGAUCAGUAAACACUGGAGUAGGCUCCCACUUCAAACACCACUUCUUAGAUGUGUUCUACAAGUCAAUUACAAAUACAUGAAUGGUUAUGUAAUAAUAUGAAAUGCAAACUCUUAUAAGGAGAUGUGGGGAGCAUAAACACCAUAAACUAAAGCAUAUGACAAGCAUACACAAACUUCAUAUAUGACUUGAGCAAGAACUCAUCACUCUUUCUCUGAACCCCACAAGCUACUACUACAAACUUGAAAUAUCAAUGGAUUAGAACACACUAAAUUUUAUCCAAAGACUAAGGUGUCACUUGAUAAUUUUGUAUCUUCUAAAGCUUUAAUCACGUCUUGGAUUAAAGUUUUCUUUUUCUUAUUCUAUUUUGAUCCUUACAAGGUUUUCUCAGUAACUGGCUUCCAAACAACCUCAAACUUUUACCAAGUGUUCAACAUCGGAUAACAAGCUUCUCCAAAAAAAUUCCAAGAUUUUUGGUGCUCAACUCUUAUUUCUAAAAUUCCAAUAGUUUUUCCAAGAGCACCCUUAAUUCACUUAAAAUUUUCUGAUAGAUCUAAAAAUUCUAAAAUCAAUUUUAUCAGGAACUUUACAUUAUUGUAAAUCCCACAAAAAAAUUUUUUUGCUAUUUUUGAUAGCUUUUUCAAUCUGCCAGCUAAAUAAUAAAGGGAAAUCAGGAAUAGUGCCUGGGCUGAAACCGACCCAAGACGAUCCAGCAACGGUGAAUCCCCGCGCCCGCAGAUCCAACUUUUCAUGGAGGCCCUUGCCGAUUCAAGUAACUGGUAAAGGAUCCAAUGCACUGUUCAUCUGUCUCUCUGACCUAAUCACCUGAGCCCCUCCUUUACACUCCUAUUUGCAACCUGACGUCCACGCCGCUGCCGAGCAUAGGUCCGGCGACUCACACCUGAUCGGUCACGGUGGCGCAACACCGACGGCGGCGAGGGCACUGACAGACUCCCCAGACUACGACAAACACGGGCACGUGCUUAAUUUGACCACGAUGAUCCGAGAACACGACUAUCGACGGUGUUGGUGGAACAGUCAAUCCAACGAGCUUGAUUCCAUAGCAACCUUACAGUAGAGUUCAAAUUAACUACGCGGAGAGUACCACUGACCUUUCAAGCUCUCGGUGCGCGCAUGAGAUUGGCUGGAGACGACGUAGUUCGAAGGGUUGCCGAUGAAGCUGUCUGCGGCGCCAAUUCCACGAUGGCGCGACUCCAUUCUAGAUCACACACCCUAGUAGAGUUCACAGUUCUUCUUCAGUGAGCUUCACGAUAUUAUGGAGAGCGCAGAACACACCUUAACCGAGGGUGCAAUUGCUCCAAGUGUCUCGGCCACGGUGAGGUGAGCCCUCGGUUGUCUUUGGUCACCAGGCACAGGUGUGGUGUGCCAGACACUGGAGAAGCUCGAUCUUGGGUCCGGGGAGAGGGUGAAUACUAGCAGGAACACAAGGGUUGCACACUCAAGUAGUGAGCUAUGGCUAAAAUCUGAGGGCAAGCGAAAAUCUUCACUGAACACAGCCCUUUAUGGCUGCUGAAAUGGGCAGAUGUCACUAGAUUUGGCAACCAUGCAGUGGGGAGGUGUUUUCCCAUGUUGACAGCAGUGCAGGAG
rnacentral:lncRNA from 1 species